GGCGCGAAACCUUUACACUGCACGCCAGUGGAAUAAGGGGACUCCAAGUGCGAGGGCAUAUCGUCCUCGCUAUCCUGUACUGUAGGGUAGUACAGUAUCAAGAGCUGGGCAAGACCGGUGCCAGCCGCCGCGGUAAUACCGGCAGCUCGAGUGAUGGCCGAUCUUAUUGGGCCUAAAGCGUCCGUAGCUGGCCUCGCAAGUCCGUCGGGAAAUCCAUCAGCUCAACUGAUGGGCGUCCGGCGGAAACUACGAGGCUUGGGACCGGAAGGCUCGAAGGGUACGUCCGGGGUAGGAGUGAAAUCCCGUAAUCCCGAACGGACCACCGAUGGCGAAAGCACUUCGAGAAGACGGAUCCGACAGUGAGGGACGAAGGCUAGGGUCUCGAACCGGAUUAGAUACCCGGGUAGUCCUAGCCGUAAACGAUGUUCGCUAGGUGUGGCACUGGCUACGAGCCAGUGCUGUGCCGUAGGGAAGCCGAGAAGCGAACCGCCUGGGAAGUACGUCUGCAAGGAUGAAACUUAAAGGAAUUGGCGGGGGAGCACUACAACCGGAGGAGCUGCGGUUUAAUUGGACUCAACGCCGGACAUCUCACCAGCCCCGACUACGGUAAUGACGGUCAGGUUGAUGACCUCAUCACGAGCCGUAGAGAGGAGGUGCAUGGCCGCCGUCAGCUCGUACCGUGAGGCGUCCUGUUAAGUCAGGCAACGAGCGAGACCCGCACUCCUAAUUGCCAGCAGCAGUCUCGACUGGCUGGGUACGUUAGGAGGACUGCCAGUACCAAACUGGAGGAAGGAACGGGCAACGGUAGGUCAGUAUGCCCCGAAUGGGCUGGGCUACACGCGGGCUACAAUGGCCGGGACAAUGGGUCGCCACCUCGAAAGAGGGCGCUAAUCUCAGAAACCCGGUCGUAGUUCGGACUGAGGGCUGAAACUCGCCCUCACGAAGCUGGAUUCGGUAGUAAUCGCCGUUCACCAGACGGCGGUGAAUAC
rnacentral:rRNA from 1 species